rnacentral:lncRNA from 1 species
UUCCAGCCGCCUGGAGCCCGCUGCCUCUCCCCGAAACGCCGGGGUCCCCGCCCUUGCCGGUGGCGCCGCGCGGCUGCCCGGGCGCGAGGUGCCCGAGCUCUAUGCGCUCUUUAGGCCGGCCGGCGGGAGGCAGCGGCAAGAGGCGCUUUUCCGGAGCGCCCGCUCGGCAGCAAGGCCUCGGACGGAGGCGAAAUAAAUAAUGCACGAAAAAGGAAAACAGACGUGAGCGGAGCCAGAGCCUCGCCCGCCUCCCGCCCGCGCUCCCCGCCGCCGCCGCCAGCGCCGCUGCAGUGAUUCCUCGUCUCCAUCUAGCGAGGCUAUUGUCCAAGACUAUCAACAAGUCGGUUGCGGGAAGGAGCCUGCUACGUCUCCAGCAGACAAGCUACUCCUCGCUUCCGAAGAAGCUUGCAGGCGCGCUCUGGUCUUUCAGACCAACGUCUUGGCGACCUUCUUCAUGUCAGAGCCCCAGGACGCGAUAGAUACUCUUCUCCGUAGGACUCUAGGGAUCCGGAUCCGCCCCUCCACUGCACUGGGGAUGGAACUCAGUACCUUCUGCUUGGGAGGCAGGCGCGUUGCCACUGAGCUAAAUGCCUGGCCCUGCAUUAUCUAAUCUGGUCUUCAGCAUUCCUAUACUGGACCUCUAUGUACCAAUGCACCUCUUGAGAGUCACCUGGCCCUCAUCUUCCUGGCCCAUCCAACACUGCAGAAUGUCACAGCCUCCCUUAGGGUGAAGACAAGCUCCAUUGCAGAUCUCUCAUGCCACAGUAGGACCCAGGGAUGUGCUGGCUCCUCUCGCCCUUUCUGGGUAUAGAUGGUGACCCACACACUGUCACACAGGAUCUGCUUACAGAGGCCACUUGGCAGCUCUACUCAGAAAUGGAAAGGAGUUAAACUUUGGGGGAAAACUUUGGCCAAUGAAAGGCAGGAGAUGAAAGGAACCCAGCAUACGGAUUCCAGUGGUUCCAGUUGACCUGUCAGGAGGUGUCCAGUAGGUGAUUAAGCAACUGGCAAUGUUUUCUCCAGAUAUGUGGCCAGCUUGAUAAUUCACAACUUUGUAUUUGCUCCCCGCCUUACUACCACUUUUCCCUUGUUUUUCUUACCCUAGGAUUUUAUCCCUCAAUAAAGUAUCAACAAGUG